rnacentral:rRNA from 1 species
UACGUAGGGAGCAAGCGUUAUCCGGAUUUAUUGGGUGUAAAGGGUGCGUAGACGGGGAAUCAAGUUAGUUGUGAAAUCCCUCGGCUUAACUGAGGAACUGCAACUAAAACUAAUUUUCUUGAGUGCUGGAGAGGAAAGUGGAAUUCCUAGUGUAGCGGUGAAAUGCGUAGAUAUUAGGAGGAACACCAGUGGCGAAGGCGACUUUCUGGACAGUAACUGACGUUGAGGCACGAAAGUGUGGGGAGCAAACAGG